GACGAACGCUGGCGGCGUGCCUAACACAUGCAAGUCGAACGAGAUCCAUGGGAGCUUGCUCCCGGAAGAUCUAGUGGCGAACGGGUGAGUAACACGUGAGAAACCUGCCCUGGAGUGGGGAAUAACUCGGGGAAACUCGAGCUAAUACCGCAUACCCUCGGAUGGUCGCAUGGCCGACCGAGGAAAGAUUUAUCGCUCUAGGAGGGUCUCGCGGCCUAUCAGCUAGUUGGUGGGGUAACGCCUACCAAGGCAACGACGGUAGGCUGGUUUGAGAGAACGAUCAGCCACACUGGGACUGAGACACGGCCCAGACUCCUACGGGAGGCAGCAGUGGGGAAUCUUGCGCAAUGGGCGAAAGCCUGACGCAGCAACGCCGCGUGCGGGAUGACGGCCUUCGGGGUGUGGACGAAAAUGACGGUACCUGCAGAAGAAGCCCGGCUAACUACGUGCCAGCAGCCGCGGUAA
rnacentral:rRNA from 1 species